rnacentral:tRNA from 2 species
GCGGGUGUAGUUCAAUGGUAGAACUUCAGUUUUCCAAACUGAUAGCGUGGGUUCGAUUCCCAUCACCCGCUCCA